UCAUCUUUCUAUGUAAAAAUACACGCUCGAAGGAUUAAAUCACUAUAGAUUUUUCUUCAUUGUUAGUACAGGUAUAUAAAAUUUAGUUAGAUUUGGUUUUCUUAUGUAUAAAUAUAUAUCUGUGUUAAAAAUAAAAUAUUCAAAAGAUAGAAUUAUUAUAAAACUUUUUCAUCGUAUAUAUAAACUGCAAAAUAAUAUUAAUCUUCUCUAUUACAGAUUAAUCGAAUUUUAUUUAAAAUUUAUCGAAUGAAAGUUUAUUUAAUGAUUUUUGUCAAAGAGAUACAGAUUAAUGGAACCGCAGCGCGCUAAAAUUUACUUUAGAGUGUAUGUAACCAGGUGUCCUAUAAGCGCAAGCACUGAAACCAAAUUAAUGUAACGAAAUAUCUAAUAUACGUUCCACGGUUGGCUAACUGGCUACCCUAAAAUUGCGUUUUAGAUAUUUGGUCAGAAGCCAAGAAUCACAGCUACACAGAAAACCGUCUGGAAGAGGAAAUAAGAUUUGCCAAUAAGAAUGCCAAUAAAAUUUCCAUGAAGAAAAAUAUCUGAAAAUUCAUUAUCAGCUGUCACGAACAAAUAAAACAUUUCUAUGACAUUUAAUGUGUGAUAUAAAAAGGACGAAAAUGGUAGGUUUUAUCUUCUAUAUAUUUUGAAUUAUGUUAUAAAUAUUAAGUUAAUGAUUCGAGAAAUUUAAAAUCAUGUUUAAAAAAAUGAAUCAGAUUCGAGAUAGAAAAAUA